GCACACGUAGCCUAAUGGAUAGGCAGCGCCCUUCUAAGACGCAUUAUGCAGGUUCGAGUCCUGUCGUGUGUA
rnacentral:tRNA from 1 species